UACGUAGGUGGCAAGCGUUGUCCGGAUUUACUGGGCGUAAAGAGCGCGCAGGCGGUCGUUCAAGUCGAGUGUGAAAGCCCCCGGCUCAACUGGGGAGGGUCACUCGAUACUGAUCGACUCGAAGGCAGAAGAGGGAAGCGGAAUUCCCGGUGUAGUGGUGAAAUGCGUAGAUAUCCGGAGGAACACCGGUGGCGAAGGCGGCUUCCUGGACCGAUACUGACGCUGAGGAGCGAAAGCGUGGGGAGCGAACAGG
rnacentral:rRNA from 1 species